rnacentral:rRNA from 1 species
ACACUGACGACAUGGUUCUACAAUCAACUUUCGAUGGUAGGAUAGAGGCCUACCAUGGUGGUAACGGGUAGCGGGGUGUUAGGGCACGACACCGGAGAGGGAGCCUGAGAAACGGCUACCACAUCCAAGGAUGGCAGCAGGCGCGCAAAUUACCCAAUCCCGACACGGGGAGGUAGUGACAAUAAAUAACAAUACGGGGUUCUUUAGGAUCUCGUAAUUGGAAUGAGUACAAUUUAAAUCUCUUAACGAGGAACAAUUGAAGGGCAAGUCUGGUGCCAGCAGCCGCGGUAAUUCCAGCUCCAAUAGCGUAUAUUAAAGUUGUUGCAGUUAAAAAGCUCGUAGUUGAAUUUCGGGGUUAGUAGGUUGGUCAUGCCUCUGGUAUGUACUGGUCUCACUGAUUCCUCCUUCCUGAUGAACCUUAAUGCCAUUAAUUUGGUGUUUUGGGGAAUUUGGACUGUUACUUUGAAAAAAAUUAGAGUGUUUAAAGCAAGCUAACGCUUGAAUACAUUAGCAUGGAAUAAUGAAAUAGGACGUUCGAUCCUAUUUUGUUGGUUUCUAGGACUGACGUAAUGAUUAAUAGGGAUAGUUGGGGGCAUUAGUAUUCAAUUGUCAGAGGUGAAAUUCUUGGAUUUAUUGAAGACUAACUACUGCGAAAGCAUUUGCCAAGGAUGUUUUCAUUAAUCAAGAACGAAAGUUAGGGGGAUCGAAGACGAUCAGAUACCGUCGUAGUCUUAACCAUAAAACUAUGCCGACUAGGGAUCGGAUGAUGUUAAUUUUUUUAGUGACUCAUUCGGCGCCUUACGGGAAACCAAAGUGUUUGGGUUCAGACCA